UCCUCAUUAAAAAAUUUGAAGUUGUUGUGGUUUUAUCAGAAAGAAGAAGAAGAAAAGAGAGGAAUCUGUAUCCUACCCCAGAAUUCUAAUAGGAAAUGAAUCACGGGAAGGAGAAUCGGCAGUGACAGCUGGAAAGAAGCAAGGAUGACAUUUGCACACAGUUGUGGCUUCAAAUGGACUGACAUCAUAUCACUAUGUCACCUGGAGAAGAUAUUGCUGAAAAGUUGUUAAUGCUAAACAAGAAAACAAGAUCUACUUAUUUUGAAGAGCUGUUC